UUACCUUAACUAAAGGCUCGUACAGACUACAUGACUUUGAAACGUAGGUCCGAGCUGUGCGGUUCACACUACAUGACUUGCUCUCUGUGAAAUCAGGAGUGUUCACGUUGUUGAGCAGUUCACACCACACGACACAACGUGAAUGCCCCACAACAGGAGGUAACGCACUACACGAGUUGAGAACAACUCUAUUACCCAACGAUUCUAUCUUGUCUACAAACCCCGUUCUGUCACGAAAAAUCACGCGAUAAAACAAACCGGAAAUGACGCGAAACUACACGCGCGCCGGUAAAAACCCACAGAAGAAGAAACAAGACGCGCAAAACUUUUGUUUGUAUAUAUAGACUUCAGACAGAAAUUAGUGCUGCAAACCGUUUGCGCGAUGCAAAGCCGCAAAAGAAAAAAAUUAUAGAGAUGUGAUGUGGAGCGGUGGAUCAGAACCACACGCGGACAGCAGGGAUUAAAGAUUUGAGAAUAGGACAGGCUUCGCAAAACAUGAUUUGGAGAGCGUUUGUCUUUGACCCUGCGAUUCUAUGCAACAGGUGACACGUUCAAGUUCAUCAGGUUCAAGUCCAGGAUGGGAGACCAGCACCAUCUCACAAAUAGUUUUGGAUGUUCUGCUCUGUACCAGGUUAUAAAGGACGAUUUCUUGAAGACACCAUCAAUGGAAGGAGAGUGGCAUACAAUAGCCAUGGACUUCGAAAGGAAGUGGCAGUUUCCACAUUGCUUUGGGGUACUUGCUACCACUCCAGCUGUAGCAGACUGCUGACCACAACAUGGAUGAUGGGCAGUGGAAGAUUCACGGGAUGUGUGCUUUUCAACCGAUGAAAUACACCUCACAUCGCAAUUGUAUGGCAAUAGCUAUAGUGCAACGCAAUGUGAUGCGGGA